AACAAUAUCCUGAUGCUGAAUGAGUGUGUUGAAGGAAACUCCAGCAUCAGUGAUUUUGUUG
rnacentral:pre_miRNA from 2 species